AGGGUUUGAUCAUGGCUCAGAACGAACGCUGGCGGCAGGCCUAACACAUGCAAGUCGAACGGGAUCUUCGGAUCUAGUGGCGGACGGGUUAGUAACGCGUGGGAACGUACCCUUUUCUACGGAAUAGCCUCGGGAAACUGAGAGUAAUACCGUAUACGCCCUUCGGGGGAAAGAUUUAUCGGAGAAGGAUCGGCCCGCGUAAGAUUAGAUAGUUGGUGGGGUAAUGGCCUACCAAGUCUACGAUCUUUAGCUGGUUUGAGAGGAUGAUCAGCAACACUGGGACUGAGACACGGCCCAGACUCCUACGGGAGGCAGCAGUGGGGAAUCUUAGACAAUGGGGGAAACCCUGAUCUAGCCAUGCCGCGUGAGUGACGAAGGCCUUAGGGUCGUAAAGCUCUUUCGCUGGGGAAGAUAAUGACUGUACCCAGUAAAGAAACCCCGGCUAACUCCGUGCCAGCCGCCGCGGUAAUAC
rnacentral:rRNA from 1 species